CUUUGCUGCUGAUGAGACUUAAAUCCAGAAAGGCAUUCUUUCGUCUCUGGCGACUCCAUCAGUAUUUAAAGCAGCACCUCCUGCAGGCUCCAGGCUGGCCUCACGACCCGCUUUGUCUAACUGGACAUUAACGAGCUUCAUGCAGUCAGGGGUUUGAAAAGAGAUUGCACACUGGGACUUGUCCUCUUUUGCUUCUCUUCAGAAUCUUGUGACUGCCACCAUGUGAAGAAGGCCUGGAGUUUUCAGUGUGUCUUCCGGCUGUGUGUUCUGAGUCUCAAGCACAUUUCAACCCGAUCACUUUAAAGCAGAAGAAAUAU